rfam:Schistosoma curassoni strain Dakar, Senegal genome assembly, scaffold: SCTD_scaffold0002224
GUCCAGCUGACGAUUCCCAAAAUAGGACGAAACACGCAUCCUGGAU